GAUGAAGAACGCAGCGAACUGCGAUAAGUAGUGUGAAUUGCAGAAUUCAGUGAAUCAUCGAAUCUUUGAACGCACAUUGCGCCCUUUGGUAUUCCUUAGGGCAUGCCUGUUCGAGCGUCAUUUAAACCUUCAAGCUAAGCUUGGUGUUGGGUGACUGUCCGCUUCACGGCGGACUCGCCUCAAAAUUAUUGGCGGCCGGUACAUUGGCUUCGAGCGCAGCAGAAACGCGAACUCGGGCCCGUCGUAUUGGCUCCCAGAAGCUAUCUUCACAAUUUUGACCUCGGAUCAGGUAGGGAUACCCGCUGAACUUAAGCAUAUCAAUAAGCGGAGGA
rnacentral:misc_RNA from 1 species